rnacentral:rRNA from 1 species
UACGUUCCCGGGUCUUGUACACACCGCCCGUCACACCACGAGAGUUUACAACACCCGAAGUCGGUGGGGUAACCGCAAGGAGCCGGCCGCCGAAGGUGGGGUAGAUGAUUGGGGUG